GACUUGUCCAAGUGCAGUGAUGUUUACAACUAAUUGAUCACCCUCAGUUACAGGUUUCUUUGUUCUUUCUCUCCUCCCACUGUUUCACUUGACUAGCCUUAA
rnacentral:Y_RNA from 1 species